AUGAAGAAAAUCACAAUACCCACACACACACACACACACACACACACACACACACACACUUACUCAGUGUCCCCCAGUGCAGGUAUGACACAAUUGCCUUUCCACACUGUCAUUUCUCUAAUUCAACUUCCUGUGUCUCUCCUAGCAAGGUCACCAGCUGAACUCAUUGGUGUUGACACCCCGGAUGAUAGCGUAUUGUCCCCAGUGACACAUCCACAAGGCCGGGCGGUUUUACUCUCCACCUGCCCUGUGGGGGUGACAGCACCUCAGAUGUACAGCACACCUGAAGAAGGCGCUGGCAGGGAGUCUGCAUCCUUCUGCUUAACACACGGCAGCUGUGCUGAGGGAAGGAGUAGACAGGCCAGAUGAAGUGGGGAAUAUGAGCCUAGGACCCGAAAAGACAUGUGUCAGUAACACGGGGGCUGACAUGGUCCGACACCCUCUGGUCCAGUAGAUGUUAAGCCUCUAUGAAGGUCUCAACCUGAAUGAAUGCGGCUGGAUCAAGGCUGAGGGAUCUUUAGACACUGAAAGUAGACACUGAAAGUAGAAGACAUCUCCAGAUCUGCCCUGCUGGUUUCUUCUGACUCAAUCGGGCAGGAAGCACAAACGUGGCAGGGUUUGGUGUGGAAGUGUGUAUUCAGAGGAAGGAAAUCUGACGUUUAAAUCACCCAAUUUCUUAUGAACUCUCGCACCCUUCACCAACAGUCUCUUUUUUGGCAGACUUUAAUUGUCUUUCCUGUUUCAUUUCAUAUAACUCCUUCCUCCCCUCACACACAUUGUGAGUCAUUCUGUCCUGUGUUAUUAAUUUUUUUUUUUUGCUGUUACGUUAUUUUCUGUUGUUUACGUUAUUUUCUUAUUAAACACAAUGUUCAUUACAAAUUAAAUUCUCAGCAUGACAAUUAAAGUCAAAAUAUCUACCAUUACAGUAACAUUCCGUAAUGACCAAUGUAAAAAAAUAAAUAUAUAUAUAAAAAAUAAAAAUAAAAAUAG
ensembl:lncRNA